GUUGUGUUAAUAGCACAGCAUUUUGACGUUACCUACAGAAGAAGCACCGGCUAACUCUGUGCCAGCAGCCGCGGUAAUACAGAGGGUGCAAGCGUUAAUCGGAAUUACUGGGCGUAAAGCGCACGUAGGCGGUUUUUUAAGUCAGAUGUGAAAGCCCCGGGCUCAACCUGGGAAUUGCAUUUGAAACUGGAAAACUAGAGUGUGUGAGAGGGGGGUAGAAUUCCAAGUGUAGCGGUGAAAUGCGUAGAGAUUUGGAGGAAUACCAGUGGCGAAGGCGGCCCCCUGGCACAACACUGACGCUCAGGUGCGAAAGCGUGGGGAGCAAACAGGAUUAGAUACCCUGGUAGUCCACGCCGUAAACGAUGUCUACUAGCUGUUCGUGACCUUGUGUCGUGAGUAGCGCAGCUAACGCAUUAAGUAGACCGCCUGGGGAGUACGGUCGCAAGAUUAAAACUCAAAUGAAUUGACGGGGGCCCGCACAAGCGGUGGAGCAUGUGGUUUAAUUCGACGCAACGCGAAGAACCUUACCUACUCUUGACAUCUACAGAAGACUGCAGAGAUGCGGUUGUGCCUUCGGGAACUGUAAGACAGGUGCUGCAUGGCUGUCGUCAGCUCGUGUUGUGAAAUGUUGGGUUAAGUCCCGCAACGAGCGCAACCCUUAUCCUUAGUUGCCAGCACGUUAUGGUGGGAACUCUAGGGAGACUGCCGGUGAUAAACCGGAGGAAGGUGGGGACGACGUCAAGUCAUCAUGGCCCUUACGAGUAGGGCUACACACGUGCUACAAUGGUAUGUACAGAGGGAGGCAAGCCUGCGAGGGUGAGCGGAUCUCUUAAAGCAUAUCGUAGUCCGGAUCGCAGUCUGCAACUCGACUGCGUGAAGUCGGAAUCGCUAGUAAUCGCAAAUCAGAAUGUUGCGGUGAAUACGUUCCCGGGCCUUGUACACACCGCCCGUCACACCAUGGGAGUGGGUUGCAAAAGAAGUAGGUAGCUUAACCUUCGGGAGGGCGCUUACCACUUUGUGAUUCAUGACUGGGGUGAAGUCGUAACAAGGUAACCCUAGGGGAACCUGGGGUUGG
rnacentral:rRNA from 1 species